ACCACUACCCCCUGUUUUAAAUAGGACUAAAAGCAUUCACGUUUUCAUCCAGGUAUUUGGUCAAAACCACAAGUACUGGACAGUGAAAUGUUGACUGGCACUGAAGAAAAAUGUAAGAGGAUCACCAGACUUCAAUAAACAUCUUUCCAAAAUGUCACGGCAGUCCAUCCAAUAAACUACAAAUGUCAACUUCAAACUUCAAACCUCAUGGUGGUGCCAAAGGAGAAGUGAGGAGAUAAUCAAAGAUAAUCUCUUCAAAGUAUAUAUUGUGCCAAACCAUCCUCUACUUGUUGAGAUAUUUCACUGGAUAAGUGAAAACUUAUCAAUUCAAUUUCUCCAUAGACAGACACAGUGGAAGGAAAUGCUCAGAUAAACAACAAAAUACCUUUUACUGUUUGCCUACAUAAUGCAAACUGUGUAACACAUAAUAGUACUGUUGGACCCUGCAAGGGUUCCCAAAGGACUGACACACAAACAGACCGUAUGGAUGCUGAGCCAAGCUUUAAUCAGAAAGAGCAGAAAAUAAGAGGACUUGCUAAUGCUUUACAGAAGUAUAGACUGACAUGAGUUCUGUAAAUACAGAGGUUAAUUAACAAAACAUACAUUUAAACUUUGAUGGAUUCUGGCACGCAUUUUUGCAUAGUAGAUCAAUUGCAAGCCAUUUUGAGAGUGUUGACCUUUCAGGGGACGGAGAACGUGGAGUCCAAAAAGGAAGAAGAUAUCUAUCAAAUAGUUUUACUUAUUAGCGGUUAUCAAAUAACAACAAUGACUUUAAUCUUUAUUUAAAUAAAUGAAUCAGAACAAGGACACCGUAAUCGAGCAAUCCUUAUUGCUGCACAGUUAUAUCGGUAUCGUAUCAGUAUCGGCUAUAUGUUGUCCGAUAUGCGUCGAUAUGAAACCAGUUUUUUUCUGAUAUAUAAUGCAGACAAAAAUGCUUGUGGUAAAAUUUCUAUAAUUGGUUGACAAUGUAUAUGUUAAAUUAUUUAACAUGUUAAAGAAUAUUUAACUUAAAUAUUCUUUAAUAAAGUUAUUUGUUUAAGAAAGCAGCGCUCUGAGUACCUUUUCAUAAUUAUAUCGGUGCACAAUCCACAUAGAAAUGUAUUUGUAUCUACAUGUAUUUUCAUCGGACGCCAUAUCGGUAACAGGUGAAUAUUUCUCCUCUAAAAUCGGUAUCUGUAUUGGUCUCAAAAAUCCCAUUUCGGUCAGGCUCUAGUUUCAUGGUUUGUAGUAAGUCAUGAGACAUGAGUGGAUGGUACAAAUAUGUUUGUUUAAAUGAACUGUGUUAACUAAUGUCCAGUUAGCGACUGAAAGCACAAGUAGUCACUACGUCACCUAGCUUCCGGCACCACCUGUGUCGUGACGACAUGCAAAUGGAUUUAGCUGUGCCACUUUCUGGUGUGACCGGACGCUAUGAUGGAAGUUAUUAAAUGAAAAUAACAAUCUUGUAGUAUGAAAUGAAAAAAGGGCAUUUUAAGCGUAAGGAAUUUCUUUAUCUCAGUCACAGUGGGUUCAUGGGACUGCUGUGCAUUCAAGCUCAAGUUCUACUAAAUGUACAGGGACGAGUAUUAUAGUGGUGUGAAAAAGUGUUUGCCUGCUUCCCGAUUUCUUAUUUUUUAAAUUUAAAUAUUAGUCAAAGAUAACAGAAGUAAACACAAAAUGCAGUUUUUAAAUGAAGGUUGUUAUUAUUAAGGGAAAACAAAAUCCAAACCUACAUGGCCCUGUGUGAAAUAGUGAUCUUGUCUUCUGUUGUUCCCCAAUCAACUGAUGCUUUUGUUCUAUAACAACAAUAUUAUAAUUUCUAAUAUUAAAAUAAAAGUAGCAGCAGUAAUAGUUCAAAUAAUGUUUGAGGGCAAUGCAGCAGCGGCUUGACCCACCAUAGCCAGUGUACUCUUCACGUCCCUGCAGACCUAUACGACCUGAAUCACAGCAGUCCCAGGAACUUUUCUACCUUCUGCCAGUGUAACUGAGCCCGCUGCCCUCAACCUGAAGUGGGGGGCAGGUUGCUGCUGGAAGCAGGCUAAUCGGAAACACAAUAAUGUGCAACCCCUCCAUUAAUGGAGCAGCUGGUGCACUGCAUCCAAUUAUUUGUUCUGUCACAACGGAAUAUGUUCUCCAGACCGACUGCAGUGCCGAGCCGCUGAAGGGCUCCAAUCCGUUGUUGGUCAGUAUUGCCUGGACCAAUGUUGGGUCUGAAUAUUUUAGAAAACACAACAGCAUAAUUCGGCCAUUUACUGAUGUAAUUUAUUCUUUGGAGAAUGCUCUCACGAUGUGUUUUGCUUGAACAUUUUUCAACACAUGGGGAAGCAUACACAUAGAAAAGCAACAAAUCGUUCUCAUUACGGCGGUUAAACAAGUAGCCUAAGUAGU